rnacentral:miRNA from 1 species
UUCAGGAUCACUGUACUGCCCCGGG